rnacentral:pre_miRNA from 1 species
AGUGGAAUUGCUAGGUCAUAUGGUAACUUUAACUUUCUGAGAAACUGCCAUACUGCUUUCCACAGAGGUGGAACCGUUUUAUAUUCCCAUUAGCGAU